UACGGAGGAUGCGAGCGUUAUCCGGAUUUAUUGGGUUUAAAGGGUGCGUAGGCGGGCUGUUAAGUCAGCGGUCAAAUGUCGGGGCUCAACCCCGGCCUGCCGUUGAAACUGGCGGCCUCGAGUGGGCGAGAAGUAUGCGGAAUGCGUGGUGUAGCGGUGAAAUGCAUAGAUAUCACGCAGAACUCCGAUUGCGAAGGCAGCAUACCGGCGCCCGACUGACGCUGAGGCACGAAAGCGCGGUAG
rnacentral:rRNA from 1 species